GACGAACGCUGGCGGCGUGCUUCACACAUGCAAGUCGAACGAAGUGGCGAACGGGUGCGUAACGCGUAAUCAACCUGCCCUUCUGUGGGGGACAACAGUUGGAAACGACUGCUAAUACCGCAUACUGAAGGUGGGGUUUGCGUCUGUGUAGCUAGUUGGAGGGGUAACGACCCACCAAGGAGAUGAUCAGUAGCCGGUCUGGGAGGGUGAACGGCCACAUUGGGACGGAGACACGGCCCAGACUCCUACGGGAGGCAGCAGUGGGGAAUCUUCCGCAAUGGACGAAAGUCUGACGGAGCAACGCCGCGUGAGUGAUGACGGCCUUCGGGUUGUAAAGCUCUGUUAAUCGGGACGCGGUACCGGAAUAGAAAGCCACGGCUAACUACGUGCCAGCAGCCGCGGUAAUUC
rnacentral:rRNA from 1 species